GAUGAACGCUGGCGGCGUGCCUAAUACAUGCAAGUCGAGCGAACAGACGAGGAGCUUACUCCUCUGACGUUAGCGGCGGACGGGUGAGUAACACGUGGAUAACCUACCUAUAAGACUGGGAUAACUUCGGGAAACCGGAGCUAAUACCGGAUAACAUGUUGAACCGCAUGGUUCAACAGUGAAAGACGGUCUUGCUGUCACUUAUAGAUGGAUCCGCGUCGCAUUAGCUAGUUGGUAAGGUAACGGCUUACCAAGGCAACGAUGCGUAGCCGACCUGAGAGGCUGAUCGGCCACACUGGAACUGAGACACGGUCCAGACUCCUACGGGAGGCAGCAGUAGGGAAUCUUCCGCAAUGGGCGAAAGCCUGACGGAGCAACACCGCGUGAGUGAAGAAGGUCUUCGGAUCGUAAAACUCUGUUAUUAGGGAAGAACAAAUGUGUAAGUAACUAUGCACGUCUUGACGGUACCUAAUCAGAAAGCCACGGCUAACUACGUG
rnacentral:rRNA from 1 species